AGCGAUAGUCUCGACAUACCACUUGCUGGUCUGGUUCCUGACUAAAAAUAGAGUUGGAAAAAUAUGCGGGGAUCAACAGCUUGCUCGGCGAUGCUUCCAAAUCUCUACUCAAAGUAAUGAAUCGAAGGACUCCCUGACGGUCGAUAAGCUGGACCAACGAAAAGAGGAGGAGCGGGGUGAACCGGCUGAACAGCUGAUUUCCAUCCCAAUGAUAAAGAAUCCUGAAUAGGUCGUCUGGGUCGGAUCGCAGUUAUCCGAUCCGGAGCGACGGCAGCUG
rnacentral:lncRNA from 1 species